AAAUUGAAGAGUUUGAUCAUGGCUCAGAUUGAACGCUGGCGGCAGGCCUAACACAUGCAAGUCGAACGGUAACAGGAAGCAGCUUGCUGUUUCGCUGACGAGUGGCGGACGGGUGAGUAAUGUCUGGGAAACUGCCUGAUGGAGGGGGAUAACUACUGGAAACGGUAGCUAAUACCGCAUAACGUCGCAAGACCAAAGAGGGGGACCUUCGGGCCUCUUGCCAUCGGAU
rnacentral:rRNA from 1 species